UACGUAGGGCGCAAGCGUUAUCCGGAAUUAUUGGGCGUAAAGAGCUCGUAGGCGGUUUGUCGCGUCUGCCGUGAAAGUCCGGGGCUCAACUCCGGAUCUGCGGUGGGUACGGGCAGACUAGAGUGAUGUAGGGGAGACUGGAAUUCCUGGUGUAGCGGUGAAAUGCGCAGAUAUCAGGAAGAACACCGAUGGCGAAGGCAGCUCUCUGGGACGGUACUGACGCUGAGACGCGAAAGCGUGGGGAGCGAACAGG
rnacentral:rRNA from 1 species